CUCACAGGCACUUGCUGAGACCUAGGCUGAAAAAUGUGACUGACGCGGUCAACGUGGUCGAAGUGAGCCACACUUUGCAGGGAUUCUGAAUACACAGCGUUAAGAAAACCAAAGAUUUCCCAGGCUAGGAGACCGCCGUCGGUGUGGUGGUGUGAUUUGUGAUGGUGUGAUUCAACAAAAACGAAUGACAUGAAAACCUAUCCUGAUCUGACACUGCAGUCAAAAACCAGAGUACUGGGGAUCAAACUCAGGACCUCAGGUUUGCCAGGAAGGCACUCUUAAGAGAAGACAAAGCCUUCUGUGAUCUGGAGCCACAGCCGGCCAGAAUUGCAAGACAAAGCCCAUUUUCCACGAAGGAAGGCCCUUCUCCCCAUGUUCCAGUACAUCCAGUGCUUUCAGGGCACCGAAACGUCCUCAAGUGAGCAAGAGAAAAUGUUCAUGGGACAGAGCCCCUUGGCAGCCAAAACCUGAGAUGAGUAUCCCUGAAGACUGACCACAGGCCAGAGGCUGAGCCGCUGGGGCAAGAGAAGCAAGUGCAUUAGGCCCAAGCACAACAGCCGUAAGAAAGAGGUACUGUUCCUCCUGCCAUUUUGCAGAUAAGCCUGCUGAGGCUUGAAGUUUUAACAGCCCUUCAGGGUAAGCUGCCAAGUUAGGACCUGCGCCCAGGACCAGCUCAUCCCCAAACUCUUGCUCUAAGCUGCUCUGCCACCAUGUUAACACUAGCUUGUAAGUGUACACUUUCUGAGGCUUCUCCCUCUCAAGUAGCUGGUAACUUUCAAAUAUGUGUGUAUAACAUGUAGUCUCAAGAGGGCCGGGGAUUUAGCUCAGUGGUGCCACCUCCUGCCUCAAAAGCGCAAGGUCCUGAGUUCGAUCUCAGGUAUUAAAAAAAAAAGCAGUCUCAAGAAGUAAGAGUUUGUUCUAUAUCCUUAAGAUACAGAAAUGUAAAUUUAGGAAAUGGGAAUACUGACAUCUGAAAAAUAAAUAAUGGAACCCAACUUAUAGUGUUUCUGAUACAGUCAAGUGAAAAGCAGUGUAAAAGCCAUUGCUUCUUUGGGUUUGUCUGCCUUCUUAUUUCUUUUGUGGUCACGAGCAUUACCAGUGGAGAGCUUGGGUUUGUCAUAGGCAGACGUCUAAUCCUUUCGGAAAAG
ensembl:lncRNA